rnacentral:ncRNA from 1 species
ACUAUUCCGGAUUAUCCCGUCCUUGUACUGAUAUUACAGUAGGAACUAUUAGCGAGUAACUGCAAAAACUUACGUGGUAAAGCAAGACCCGGACACGUUGAAGCUAAUA